rnacentral:pre_miRNA from 1 species
CUUACAUAGUUCUUUGGCAUUCUGUCCACCUCCAAUUAGCUUCAUGAUCUUCUAUAUUUUUUUAGAAAAUUAUAAUUUAUUAUUUAGAAAAAAAAAAUAAGAAAAAAAAUGGAGGUGGGCAUACUGUCAACAGAUUUGUGUUGG